rnacentral:rRNA from 1 species
CGCGAAUAGCUCAUUACAACAGCCAUAGUUUAUUGGAUGUUUACGUUCCUACAAGGACACCUGCGGUAAUUCUGGGGCUAAUACUUGCGAAAUGCGACAACCUCACGGGAGUCGUGCAUUUAUUAGAUUAAACCAAUCGGUCCUUCGGGACCGCCAUUUGGUGAACUCUGAAUAACUUAGCUGAUCGCACAGUCUCGUACUGGCGACAAAUCUUUCAAGUGUCUGCCUUAUCAACUUUCGAUGGUAGUUUAUACGACUACCAUGGUUGUAACGGGUAACGGAGAAUAAGGGUUCGACUCCGGAGAGGGAGCCUGAGAAACGGCUACCACAUCCAAGGAAGGCAGCAGGCGCGCAAAUUACCCACUCGCAGAACGCGGAGGUAGUGACGAAAAAUAACGAGGUGGCUCUCUAUGAGGUCCAUCAUCGGAAUGGGUACAAUUUAAAUCCUUUAACGAGGAUCUAUUGGAGGGCAAGUCUGGUGCCAGCAGCCGCGGUAAUUCCAGCU